rnacentral:misc_RNA from 1 species
CCAUCUAAAUAGCCAAGCCCACGCUCGGAAUUAUCAAUUGAUGCGUCUCAAGUUAUUGUAUGUGUCUGUAAACUAAAAACAAAAUCACAUCCCGUCAUUAAGAGUGGACAACAAUGGAGUCUAUGGACUGCAAGCAAGAUCUAUGUACUGGGAGUUAUAUAGCUCCAAUGGAUCCUGCGAUGGAAGAGGUCUUUCAAGGUGACCACCUGGCUUCAGGCAACAAGGAAUUCAACUUGGAUGAGUUAUUGGAAUUUCUCAAGAGCCCUACUCGAAGGGAAAAGAGCACCUUUGCUGUGAUUGAAUCUAACAAGGAUCGGGGAAAGCCAUAUUUUGUGGAGAGAGACCCUAAUAUGAUCACAAGCAAACCUGAGACCCAGAUCCCUGUGGAGCUGAUGGGUGGUCAAGCUGGGGAUCGUAUUCGCAUCAGCUUAAUGUGAGUCAAGUAUUUCAUGU